rnacentral:sRNA from 1 species
GCGGAGGAAAAGAAACCAACAGGGAUUGCCCCAGUAACGGCGAGUGAAGCGGCAACAGCUCAAAUUUGAAAUCUGGCCCUAGGCCCGAGUUGUAAUUUGCAGAGGAUGCUUUUGGCGCGGUGCCUUCCGAGUUCCCUGGAACGGGACGCCAUAGAGGGUGAGAGCCCCGUACGGUUGGACACCAAGCCUUUGUAAAGCUCCUUCGACGAGUCGAGUAGUUUGGGAAUGCUGCUCAAAAUGGGAGGUAUAUUUCUUCUAAAGCUAAAUAUUGGCCAGAGACCGAUAGCGCACAAGUAGAGUGAUCGAAAGAUGAAAAGCACUUUGAAAAGAGGGUUAAACAGCACGUGAAAUUGUUAAAAGGGAAGCGCUUGUGACCAGACUUGCGCCCGGUGAAUCACCCAGCUCUCGCGGCUGGGGCACUUUGCCGGCACAGGCCAGCAUCAGCUUGCCGUCGGGGACAAAAGCUUCAGGAACGUAGCUCUCUUCGGGGAGUGUUAUAGCCUGUUGCAUAAUACCCUUCGGCGGGCUGAGGUACGCGCUCCGCAAGGAUGCUGGCGUAAUGGUCAUCAGCGACCCGUCUUGAAACACGGACCAAGGAGUCAACCUUAUGUGCGAGUGUUUGGGUGUUAAACCCCUACGCGUAAUGAAAGUGAACGCAGGUGAGAGCUUCGGCGCAUCAUCGACCGAUCCUGAUGUUCUCGGAUGGAUUUGAGUAAGAGCAUAUAGGGUUGGACCCGAAAGAAGGUGAACUAUGCGUGUAUAGGGUGAAGCCAGAGGAAACUCUGGUGGAGGCUCGCAGCGGUUCUGACGUGCAAAUCGAUCGUCAAAUAUGCGCAUGGGGGCGAAAGACUAAUCGAACCUUCUAGUAGCUGG